rnacentral:rRNA from 1 species
GAUGAACGCUGGCGGCGUGCCUAAUACAUGCAAGUCGAGCGAAUGGAUUAAGAGCUUGCUCUUAUGAAGUUAGCGGCGGACGGGUGAGUAACACGUGGGUAACCUGCCCAUAAGACUGGGAUAACUCCGGGACACCGGGGCUAAUACCGGAUAACAUUUUGAACCGCAUGGUUCGAAAUUGAAAGGCGGCUUCGGCUGUCACUUAGGGAUGGACCCGCGUCGCAUUAGCUAGUUGGUGAGGUAACGGCUCACCAAGGCAACGAUGCGUAGCCGACCUGAGAGGGUGAUCGGCCACACUGGGACUGAGACACGGCCCAGACUCCUACGGGAGGCAGCAGUGGGGGAUCUUCCGCAAUGGACGAAAGUCUGACGGAGCAACGCCGCGUGAGUGAUGAAGGCUUUCGGGUCGUAAAACUCUGUUGUUAGGGAAGAACAAGUGCUAGUUGAAUAAGCUGGCACCUUGACGGUACCUAACCAGAAAGCCACGGCUAACUACGUGCCAGCCGCCGCAGUAA